ACGUCGAAGGCCCGGGUGGACUGGUACCCCGACGUCGUGCGUUCGCGCCGACGAAGGGAGAAACCCCCGGUGUCCUGACUGCCCUGCGACGGUCGUGUAGCAGAGGAGCAAAAGCACUCCCUCUCGCGGCGUGCAAAAGGUCGGUGACCCACCCGACCCGUCUUGAAACACGGACCAAGGAGUCUAACAUGUGUGCGAGUCGUUGGGCGCACUAAACCCAGAGGCGAAAUGAAAGUGAAAGGGGGGCGUCCCGGGGUCUUCGGGCCUCGGUCGGCGCCCUCCGGGGCCGAUCCCCGACCGCUGCUGCCGUCGAGUUUCCCAUACCAAAGCGUGGUCAAUGCGAGCGCACGAGGUGAGACCCUUUCCCUCGCGCGCUCCAGGCCGCGUGGGAUCUUGGCGCGCACGACGGUCCGGCUCCUUCACGGGAGUCGCUUGUACGCAGGGGGGCGCAGGCCCGGGACUUGCCAUUCGACGCCGUCGCGCAAAUCUGUUGUUGGUCACGCUGGCUUUGCUUGGGCUCUCGGUUGGUGUCCCGUGCGUAAGGCGGGCUUUGGGUGGGGGGAUUCCUCCUCGCUCGGGCUCGU
rnacentral:rRNA from 1 species